rnacentral:tRNA from 1 species
GCUGGUGUAGCUCAGUUGGUAGAGCAACUGCCUUGUAAGCAGUAGGUCGGCGGUUCAAGUCCGUUUACCAGCUCCA